ensembl:lncRNA FAM30A family with sequence similarity 30 member A
GCCUCCUUGAUGAUAAAUGAUGCGUCCUGUGACUGUCUUGGCCCAGACCAUCAGAUGGCCUCCUCACCUACCCCUCUUCAGACAGGGCCUCAGACCUAAGGCAGGAGCACCCCCUAUGCCAGACCUCCUGGGUCACAGGAUAUGCACGGACAUUGGGAAGGGAUGGAGGAUGGACGGAGGAAGGACGUGCAGUUGCAGCUCUUUCUGCAGAUGCCCUGAGAGAGGAGCAAGAAGGUCCUCGCCAGAUGCUCCUGGACUUGCUUUGGACUUUCCCUUGCUCUUGGACUUGCUCUGGCACCUGUGCUCUUGGACUUCACAGCCUCUAGAACUGUGAGAAAUAAAUUUCCGUUCAGUAUAAA